CCUGAUCUUGCUCUCCGUACCACGUGUUCCAAGUCCCAACCAGUGCACAUGGGUAGUGUUUUUCUUCAUGAAUCUUUGGCAGCACCUCUUGACUUGAAAACAAGGAAUACAGACACUAUGUUGCAUUUCCUUUAGGGAGGCUACAGUUGAUAUGUAUAACAAAUCACCACACGUUUAUCAUUAUGGUAUGAAAAUUCACAAGCUCUACUUUUCAGAAGAGAAAGCUGAAAUACAAAAAUCUGCUAUACAGGGGAAAGAUAGCUACAACACUAAGAAAAAUUAAGACGAUAACCACCCUCAACAUAUUCCUACAUGGCAGCUGGAGUGGGACACACUAGCAUACCAGGAUCUACCAGCAAGGACCAGCAAUUGUAAGACAACUAAGGGAAGGGGGAGAGCUGUUCCAACAAAUGUCAUCAAUGUUUUCACAAAAGGCAUCGUCCCAAGAUGUAGCUUAGGAAAAUGACACCCCCAAGAGGGAAGGCAGGGAGUGAACUGAGUAAAGUAUCUUUUAUCAUAUCUCUCUCCAAGAAUAGUAUGAUCUAUUUAACACCAUAAGCUGAAAGUAAAAGCAGAAUUUUUUCACCUCCCCUCUAAGUAAUUACGAUAUUUGCCAGUUUUCAGAACAACUUGUGAUCAAACCAACAUGUCUAAAAUGUGAAAACAUAGUACGCACACUUACCAAAUCUUGUUGUAGGCCUCCAGACAUUCUGGUUUUACGUUGUGAACUGAAAUAACAACAUUACGUGAGAAAUGCAGAAACAGAGUAAAGAAAUGGUAAUGUUAAAUAUAAAAAUAUCACUCACUCUGUAGUUUAUACAGACUGCUGGUCUCUCUUUUGGCUAGAAGGUUGGAGUGAGCAUCUUUCCUUGGAUCGACUUUGCGAACAAACAGCGAUUUUAACCAACUGUCUUCACGAGGUCUGCUAGCUGAAGAAACCAGCCCCCUGCAUGUUAACAAGUACAUUAUACUGUCACUGAGCGUGAAUUGAAAAUGCCCACAAUGCAGGGAAGAUAGGCACAAUCAAGUUGAAUGCAAACAGUAUCAUAACACACAGUUACAUAUAAUGUCUAUUACUAAAACUUUCCACUGAGCCACUUCCUAGCAAGGUAAAGGCAGUUCUCUCCCCACUAAGAUCUACUCUCUCACAAACCAUUUUAGUAGAUACAGAACUGAACAGUUAACCAUUCACUAUGCACUUUUAUCCUUUGUGCACACGAAUGGGAAUGGGUGGAUAGCUGCUUUUCUGCCUAUUUAUCUCCUUUUUAGUAAGUGGCUUUGCUCAAGAAGGCUGAAUCUGUCCUUAUGUACACAGGCAAGAGUGAAAAAGAGCAAAAAGUGUGCGUAAGGAAAAAUUUGUGCAGUGUAAAUAGGAAAGUAACAGCCAUAUGUUCCUAUGUUGCUUAAAUAUAGCUCUAAAAAAGGAAAAGUUAAAUGGUGCAUCUUUAAAGAGAAAAAAUAUAAUGAAAGCCUAAUUUGGGGGAAAAAAAAAAAAAGAGUGGCAGGAAACAAACAGCCUGCAAAUAUUUCAAUCCAAAUUCUGGCAACUAUAGUAUGUAAGGGUACAGAUCCACAUUCUUUGUACAACAUUCAUGAUUUCCCUUUCUUUGAAACAGAAGAACUUCACUGUCUCUUUUUAUCUAAUCUUUAUGCAGUUUCUGCAAGUACACUUCCAAAAUAAUAUCACUUCCCUUUACACCACAGAGUCCACAAAACAUUACAAUUGAUAACUGUACUUCUAUAAAAUGAUGUGUUAAAGGAAUUAUUCCUCUCUUUUCCAGGUAAGACAUCCCCCACUCCAGGUAAGUCUCACCAAAAACUGUGCAGAAGUACAAGAAAGCUGAUGUAUUUAACUGAUUCUCUACAAGGUUCAGGGGACCACAAGCUCAAAUGUUUUUUCUUCUUUCUCAUAAGAAGCAAUUCCUUCAAUUUACCUCUUUUUGAUAUGGGGUUUCUCUGAAAUACUAAAAUAUUUUUGAUGUACUAAAAAUGUGGCACUACAGCUGGAAAUUUAAACCUUUUCCUGCCUCAGAAGUCAACUUUUCACCCUUAAUUACUGACUAGGAGAUCCAGAAGAUAACUAUCAAUUUUCAGCUAUAAAGCUGUCUUCCAGACAUCAAAAGUUUGUGACAGUCAUUCAAGAAAAAAAAUCGGGGAACAAAAUCUGAAUUUCCUUUGUGAAAAGUAUCUUCAUGAACAUGCCUGUCUGUAUCACACAAAAGUAGUUCACACUAGCAGUGUUUUUCAAUAAGCAACCUUUCAGCGCCAAUGUCUGAAAAUAACAUAAUUAACUGGUUCACUCUGUGGAAGCAAGGUGGAAGAAAGGAAAAGCAUUUCAUAGCAGCGAAAUACUAACAAUCAAAAGAACAACUACAGCUGAGAUAACUUUCAAUGUUAAGAAGUAAUUGGUAAAUAAAUACUUGUGUAUUUAUUGAAAGUAGUGCCUUCUUUAGUCCAAGGCAAACACAAACAUGUUAGCGUGCUGAAAGCUAAGCAGCUAUUCCUCAGUACAAGCAUUUAAAAGGGCACUCCACGAUAAGGCUGUUGCUAGAAUAGAAGGUAUGCAGCUGCCUGGAGUAGAGGUAUCUCUGAUCUCAGCUGGAGGAGGUGAGGCACAGGUGACUGCAGUUGUGUUGUCACACCUACAUCAGGUGUCACAGGAGCACAAGCUGCCCCAGAUGACAGGGGGUAAACACCAUCUAAUGAAUCCAAGUUGUUUUAAAAAGUUCCCUUAAAGUAAGCACUAAUGCUCACUGGACAGCAAACAGGGCUCUAGGAAAUAGAACUCAAGCCCUGUCAUGCAGUACUCAUUUUUGCAACUCAGAUCUGUAAACUAUUGCCAUUUCCUCCCCUUUAUCAAAUAGAGUUAUCAAACUAAUAUUUAGAACCUUCCUCUAUGAGGAUUAUUGUUUGCAGCAAACUUUGAAAGAGACAAAUAAUCAUGCUGCUUUUUUGUGAACCAGCUUUAUCAGCAGCAAGAGUAAGCUGGAGUUACAAGGAUAAUACUGAAAAGCAAAUUCCUCUGCUAUUAGGAGUCUCAUGACUUGAAUGUUAAACUGCACCUAAAAAUGAAGGAAUAUUUAAUUUUCAAUACAAUGAAAUGAGUAAUACUUUACAUUUAUGUAAAAUCUUUUAGCCAGCAAUUGUAAAGCUCCUCAUGAACAAUGACUAACAAAUCAUGAAUAUCCAUCUAAAUAUACACUUUACUUAUAAUAAAGAAUGGUAACAGC